AGGUGGACUGAGUGCUGGUGCAGUUUACAGCUGGAUUAGUGUGCGGCUGCAUUCAAGGGAGGAAGUGCCAGGAAAAAAAAGAUGCUGCUAUUGAAGUUUUAUAAGUUGGUGUUUCUAAAAGGAAAAUAAAUGAAAGCAUCAU